GAUGAACGCUAGCGGCAGGCUUAACACAUGCAAGUCGAGGGGCAGCGCGGGAUAGCAAUAUCCUGGCGGCGACCGGCGGAAGGGUGCGUAACGCGUGAGCGACAUGCCCGUUGCCCGGGGACAACCGGUGGAAACGCCGACUAAUCCCCGAUGGGAUACGAUGCUUCAUGGCAUUGUAUUGAAAGUUACGGCGGCGACGGAUUGGCUCGCGUCCGAUUAGCUGGUUGGCGGGGUAACGGCCCACCAAGGCUGCGAUCGGUAGGGGUUCUGAGAGGAAGGCCCCCCACAAUGGGACGGAGACACGGCCCAUACUCCUACGGGAGGCAGCAGUGAGGAAUAUUGGACAAUGGGCGGAAGCCUGAACCAGCCAUGCCGCGUGCGGGAAGGAGGCCCUAUGGGCUGUGAACCGCUUUUGCCUGGGGGCAAUAAGGGCGUCGCGCACGUCCGAUGAGAGUACCAGGCGAAUAAGCAUCGGCUAACUCCGUG
rnacentral:rRNA from 1 species